CGACAUGCGUUUUUUUGUUCUUCACAAACAGAUCGCAUUUUAAAUGUCAAUACCACAGUCGAUCAUGUUUACAGAUUCAAAAUUGUGAUCGCUGUUAAAAAUUGAGACUUCAAGACUGAAUAUGGGCGCUACUUUUUCCUUUUUUAAGCUAAAACGUCAAGAUCUCUACCUGCAUCUGAACACUUCCUAUCAUCAGGUGUGUCGGGCCUUUCCCUCUCCACACAGCGUUUUUAACAUAGUCAUCUGUAGAUCGUUAAAUUGACUAUUUUACACUUCAGUUAAGAAUAGACUGAGUCAAUGUGGAGGAAAUAGUUUUAGUUACAACCACAAUAACUUGUACAGUAGCUACCUGUGCUGACGGAAGGGUCACCAGAUCAGCCUAAUGAUGAUCAUACACUGGCACAAUGUCACCACCUGAAAUUUCAGCUCCCACACACACACACACACACACACACGGACAGGACAGGGAUUUUUUUUAAAAAAAAAAGAAAAAAAAGUCUAUAAAUAUGUAACUUUGAUAUCCAGAGAUCCUACUAAUAGAUUAAAUCAAUGGCGAGAGAGCAACUUUAAGAUUAGCCGUUAGCUAGUUAUUGCUAACGUUACUAGCUAACUGAGCUAACCCUCGGUGCAGAAUUGCCACAAUGCUUUUCACCUGGAAAUAACUUUAAAGGAGCAGCGGGCCGCAACAACACAGUGUCAGGGUAUCAACUCCACAUCUGAGGCCUGCACUUCAGUCUAGGAAAAAGGCAGAUAAAGAAACCCAACAAGGAGAUUGAGACUACCAUAUCAGGUCGGGCUGUCCGAGGAUCGGCCUGUGGGAUGGAGAGAUAAAGAACGCCUGGUGCAUUUCUGUGGGAUGAUUUCCAGCGGUAUCAAGAAGCCGCCUGUGCUCUCCUACUGUGGAUUAUUGGAGCAGCUGCUUGAAGGCUGUCUACACUCUCAGUGAAGAGCGUUCUCAGACGCUCCGUAUGGCCCACACAGCCUCCACAAUAUAUUAGACAUGGAAAACCUAAGCUGUAAGUACUUCAAAAGAAGACUAGAUAAAGAAUGAGUCUGUGAUUCUGGACAAAAACUUGCUAGUAUUUCAUCAGUUAGCAUAUUUAGGUAGUAUGUAGGUGUCAUAUUCAGUGUUCCUCUCUGCUGUGUUUUUUUCUUUUUUCAGUGCACACACAGAACCGACAGCUAGCGGGCUUAUUCAGAGAGGCAGAUAUUCACUAAAUCUAAUAAAAGAUAUGUUGGAUUACAGUCACUGACUUUCCAUUUAACUACACUGAUGAGACAAGAGACCUUACCGUUUAUUGUGACCUGUGGUAUUUAACUCCUGUCAGAAGCCCAGGUAUCUGAACUACCACUAUUU
ensembl:lncRNA